GAGAAGGAAGUGUUGAUUUUUUAUCCUUGUGGAAAGUAUUGGAUCCGGAUGCACGUCAAUGAGAUAUCGAAAGGACUUUAUUGGCGACUGAUUGCCCCUUUCUCGGAUGGAAAAAGCCUUCAAGAAGCUAAUGGGAGGAUACGAAUUUCCCGGAUCUAACAGAAAAACCGCCAGCCAGCCAAGACAUUUUCCGCCCUGACAAGAACAAGGGUAAAUUUCCUGCUGAUCGACCAAUUCCAAUCAUCAGUUCAUCUGGUCGAAUUCCCGGUCAAAUAGGUCAAUUCAGAGUUGAAGGUUGUCGAUCCGGGCAAAUUGGUUCCAAACCCAAGGACCACUUCCCCCAAGGUCAGCUGGGGAAAGCAAAUAAAGAGCAGCUAUUUGUGAUAGAAAUCACCACCGUCUGCGUCCAACCGGCCAAAGAUUGUUCGGAAUUGCUCUGUCACAAGAUCGCCAGCAUUAUGUAAACAGGAGACUUGAGAAUCACGACGUCAAUCUGGUGGCAAUCUGGAAGGCUCAGCGUAUGAUAUCCAAAGCUGCCGACAUCGCAGUGACCUGGACGCGUCGCAAUUUCAAUCGUUUUCUGAGGACGUUAAGAAGGAACAUGACUUAUACGAGGCCCAUAUGAUGUCGCUGCUUUGGAAGAUGGCUACGGGAAAGCUGACAUUAAUUCCGGGAAAUGCGAAGUGUGUUGCAGGAUGACUACGCAGCCAUAUUUGAGUCAGUGUUGUAUUAUCCCUGGCGCCAUCGGGAAUAAUCGUUUAUUUUUCGUUCUUAAGUGUCAAGAUGGCUCGCAUACCGAAAAAAACAUUUGAAGCGUUUGAACGCCUCCAGGGUUACCUUUGCCCCGCGUCGAUCCACUGGCCCAAACUGCGUGGGUAGUCUGAAAUACGUCUUGACCAAGGUCACCAAGAUCUGCAGCGUCACAUCUAAAUCGAUGUCAAGGUUCGCAUUGACCCCAACUACCCGGCCGGAUUCAUGGAUGUCAUCACUCUUUGAUAUACGGCGUUGUUUUAAUGUUCACCGUGGUACUACCCCGGAGAAAGCCAAGUACAAGCUCCUGAAGCUGAAAUGCGUCCAGAUAGGCCUAAAGAAGGUACCGUUUAUCAUAACCUCGGAUCUGAGCAUCCACCAGAAUGAUUCGAUUCGCUACGAUAUCGCCACGGGUGAUGGACGUGCUCAAGCUCGAACCCGAUAUGUGCAUGCAUGAUUAUUUAUCAGAAUUUUGUUCGUUGCGGAACUAGGAUCCAGCGUGACAAGCACUUAGAAUCGUGAGAUAUCGUGUACUUCGAGAAUGCCAACGAAUGUCGCAAAGAAAGCUCUCAUUUCAUUUGUAAAUGCUAAUAAAACAUUAAGUUUAUGUGUAGGCUCUAUCCCAGUUGGGACAAAAAUAAUAAAAAAGCAAUAAACCUUAUUAGUUCAACGCUUAGUUGUUUUUGUGUUUAUUGAUUGUUCAUUGCCGUCUCUUCUAUGGCUGAUUAAAUUAUGUUUUAUUUUUUUUCGAUUUGAAUUUAGUAUAGAUCUAGUAUUUACUUCAGCUAUACAAAAUUCUGAGCGAAAAAGAAUGAAAAUGCAAUUUAAUCGGCUAUAGAAGGGCCGUAGAAAUCGUUUCCAUUUUACAUCGCUUCAUUCACGUCGUAUAAAUGUACGUCGAAUAAAUUACAUCGCAAGAUUUACAUGGGAUCUGUUCAUUACAUCAACAGCCGUCGAGUACAUCGGGCUGUGUAACAUCUAUCAGUCGAUGUAAAGACCUGGAUACAACGAUUUCAAUGUAAUAUUCAUCAACUUUUUUUGCUGUGUAGGUGACAAUAGUGAGAAAACGUCAAACUCGAACAAAAACGAUCAGAGUGUUACGUCUGUUUGUCUGUGAUGUCACUUUUUUUCUUCUUCAUUAAAAUAAUUAUGUUUGAGUCGUUAUAAGAAUUGUUGGGAUUACAACCGCUUAUAUGUGUAUCAAUCAUUUUUCGAGUUGCACUUGACAGGAAAUUAUCAACAUUGCAACUGCUUACUUUUUCUAACAUAGUUUUUCCCUUCUUUUCUAUAUAGGCUGUUCUUUCGAAUUGCGCUUUUCAGAAAACUAUGGGCAUUACAACCGUUAAAUUGUUAAAGUAUUCACAUUUUUUUUCAAAUUUUUAAACACCUGUGCCUAUAAAUUCCUGAAAAGUGCAAUUUGAAAGGACUCUUCAUUGUACUAACAGUUCACGGCUAUGCGGGUUGUCCUACAAAUUUGAAAUGUACAAAAUAAUGGACAUUGAAUUGUACCAA